CGACGUGGCGCAGCGGAAGCGCGUGAGGCUCAUAACCUCGAGGUCCUCGGAUCGAAACCGAGCGUC
rnacentral:tRNA from 1 species